UACGUAGGUGGCAAGCGUUGUCCGGAUUUACUGGGCGUAAAGAGCGCGCAGGCGGUCGUUCAAGUCGCGUGUGAAAGCCCCCGGCUCAACUGGGGAGGGUCACGCGAUACUGAUCGACUCGAAGGCAGGAGAGGGUAGUGGAAUUCCCGGUGUAGUGGUGAAAUGCGUAGAUAUCGGGAGGAACACCGGUGGCGAAGGCGGCGACCUGGGUAGAUACUGACGCUGAGGUGCGAAGGCGUGGGGAGCAAACAGG
rnacentral:rRNA from 1 species